rnacentral:rRNA from 1 species
CUUCUACGGGACGCAGCAGUAGGGAAUCUUUCACAAUGGGCGAAAGCCUGAUGGAGCAACGCCGCGUGCAGGAUGAAGGCCUUCGGGUUGUAAACUGCUUUUAUAAGCGAGGAAUAUGAUGGUAACUUAUGAAUAAGGAUCGGCUAACUACGUGCCAGCAGCCGCGGUCAUACGUAGGGAGCAAGCGUUGUCCGGAAUUACUGGGUGUAAAGGGAGCGUAGGCGGGAUGGCAAGUUGGGUGUUAAAUCUACCGGCUCAACUGGUAGUCGCACUCAAAACUGCUAUUCUUGAGUGAAGUAGAGGCG